GAUGAACGCUGGCGGCGUGCCUAAUACAUGCAAGUCGAGCGAACAGAUGAGGAGCUUGCUCCUCUGACGUUAGCGGCGGACGGGUGAGUAACACGUGGAUAACCUACCUAUAAGACUGGGAUAACUUCGGGAAACCGGAGCGAAUACCGGAUAAUAUAUUGAACCGCAUGGUUCAAUAGUGAAAGACGGUUUUGCCGUCACUUAUAGAUGGAUCCGCGCCGCAUUAGCUAGUUGGUAAGGUAACGGCUUACCAAGGCAACGAUGCGUAGCCGACCUGAGAGGGUGAUCAGCCACACUGGAACUGAGACACGGUCCAGACUCCUACGGGAGGCAGCAGUAGGGAAUCUUCCGCAAUGGGCGAAAGCCUGACGGAGCAACGCCGCGUGAGUGAUGAAGGUCUUCGGAUUGUAAAACUCUGUUAUUAGGGAAGAACAAAUGUGUAAGUAUCUAGGCACGUCUUGACGGUACCUAAUGAGAAAGCCACGGCUAACUACGUG
rnacentral:rRNA from 1 species